rnacentral:rRNA from 1 species
UACGGAAGGUGCAAGCGUUGUUCGGAGUGAUUGGGUGUAAAGCGCACGUAGGCGGGUUUGUAAGUCGGUUGUGAAAGCCCUGGGCUCAACCCAGGAGAGUCAUCCGAGACUGCAGAUCUUGAAUGCCUGAGAGGUUAGUGGAAUUCCUGGUGUAGGAGUGAAAUCCGUAGAUAUCAGGAGGAACACCGGAGGCGAAGGCGGCUAACUGGUGGUGCAUUGACGCUGAGGUGCGAAAGCGUGGGUAGCAAACAGG